rnacentral:tRNA from 1 species
UCCCUGGUGGCCUAGUGGUUAAGGACCCAGCAUUGUCAUUGCUAUGGCGUGGGUUCGAUCCCUGGCCUGGGAA